rnacentral:ribozyme from 1 species
UGCCCAGAAACUCCUAUCCCUACCUCCUCGUGGUACUGGCCGGGGUACGAGUAACCUUAGGGAAGACCGGGUAACCAAUUCCGGCGGGAGCUUUGGUCGUAUGCUGACAGGGAAGG